UCUGGUUACUGGAACCUUGCUUUGUGGUUGGAGGCAAUGAGGCAUUGGAAUUGCAGAAGACUGAUGGACCUCCCCACCUGGGGACUUGAUACUGCAAUAUUCACAUUAUCCAUGGACGGUGCUUGAGAAAAUUGCACUGUACCAAAGAGGUUGUUGCAGAGAAUUGAAGGCUUCUGGAAGGAAGAAAUGAAUCUUGAGGCAAAGCUAAAGCUGUAUUACUUGUGACAGUACCCCUGCAGGUUCUGUCACCCGCCUAUACACUAGGGAAACUUUGCAGUGCCUAGUUAACCAUCUUUCAUGGUUUGGGAAGUGGAGGAAUCAGGAGCAUCCAGAGGAAAACUACAUGAUCACAAGAGAACUUGCAAAUUCACGGAGACAAUCCAUCAACCUAAACCCCGGGAAUGACUGAAGCUGCUGCACAACAAACUGUGGUCCAUUGUCACUGCCUAAGUGUUCUGGAACACCAGUCCUUGAGAAGAGGCUUCUCAACACGUCAACAGUGUGCGAGGCUGUUGGGAAGACUUCUGACCACUUUGCAGCUGCAUCGGCAAAUACCAAGAAACUUGUGCCCAUGAAUGGUCUGGCAAAAUCCACAUGAAUCCUCACCUGAGGGCAAUGCAGGCAAUUCCCAAGGGUGGAGAGAUGCCUCUCCUGUCAUCUGGACAUGUUGGCAUCCCAAACAGUGGCAAGCUUCUCGAUCUACUGAUUUAUCCCGGGCCACCAGACAAAGCUUUGAGCCAAUGCUUUCAUUUUGACCAUGCCUAUAUGACUGGCAUGUAGCUCCUCCAACACUUCGGCUAUCAUCUUGAUGGUAUAACAAAAUCCCAAAAUAAGGGCACUCUGUCAAGGUGCUCAACGAAUAUGAUGCAAAGUCUAUGGGGCGUUCACUUGCAUCACUCAUAAUGUGACUUGUCUGCACCUACACCACAAGGCUAGGCAACACAAGCAAGCUUCUCUGGACCAUGUGGAUCAUCUAACAUCACCAUUUCCUUUGGAAAGCCACCUCACACUGCUUUGUCCAUUGUUAUUUUUUCCCAAUCUGCGGCAAUGAGUUCCAAGGGUAGAGCACAGUAGUCAGAUUUGGCAGGAACUUGUUAUAGUAAUUGACAAAUCCUAAAAAGAACCACAAUUGUGACACAUUCUUUGGCCUUGUGGCAUCCACCAUUGUUUGAAUUCUCUCAGCACUCUUCUGUAAUCCUUGUGCAUUAAUGGUGUGACCACAGUAAGUGCAGAAGUCAUGUAUCUAUUUCUGUCCAUGGUAACCAUGUAUCCAUUUUCUUUCUGUAUUAUAUUUUGUGGCUCGUACAUUAUCGUCAUCUGUCAUAUGAGUUGGGGCGAGAUAGAAGCUAAUUAGUAUAGUUACAUAUUCACCGUUAGUUGUUUAGUUAGUCUAGUUGAGGGGGAGUGAGACGGAAUGAUUUUUUGUUGACAGUUAAUUGGAACAUUAUUAGAGUGCUUAAGUAGGUAUAGAACACAAAUUCUGAUAUUGCUUAAAUAUACUAACUUCACUUAUUGGAAUGCUAAUUUAGUUCGACUGCUAAUUAUGUUUAGAAUCACUUAUAACACUAAUUAGAAUGCUUAAAUACAUUGCUAAGAUUGCUAUAUCACUAAUUUAGUUUCAUUCAUUUUUUUAUUGAUACAAGAUUGUUCAUCUUUGCUGGUUUUGUAAAAAAGGAUCUAACGUACCUUUGGCAAUUUGGCAGCAUAUCAUACAGUAUCGAUUACCUUGGUUUAGUCUCUCGGUGGUUUUGGUUUGCUUUUGUUAUGGAAAAACUAAGAACACCAGAGCGUCUUCGAGUUUUGUUUUAAGAGUUUAUUAACCUGGUAUCAUGGAGUGGAAAGUCUUCAGCAGUCUCCACUGCCACCAGAACUCUGAAUUCUAGGUUAUACAGAAUUCAUAUUUAUGCAGCAAAACAAACAACUUCACAUAACUUUGUUUGGCAUCCCACGGGCAGUACAAUAUCAAUUGCUUAAAAGACAUGUCAAUUAUUCUCUCAGCGUGAGUUCUCUUUGUUCCCUGUUAUCAAGGCUCAUAAUUUAUCCCUAGACAUAUCCUUUCUCCUGGUUCCAGGGGCCUAAUAUCUUAAUUAUUGAUGUUCCUGGUAUUGUGUUUAUCAUCCGGGGUUAUUCUUGACUCGCAUCAGCAGUCUUAAGCCCAGCUGUUCUAGAACAGUCAAGCAUCCCAUCAGACAUUAGUUUUAACCAUUUCUACCACAGUUUUCAAGUAGCUCCUAAAGCAAGAGAUGCUUAAAGAAACCAAACUUCUUGUGGUUGUCUAAGCCCGUAAUCUUUUAAUCUGUUUAACACUGUUGUGAGGUUUUGGAGAUGUUCCUCAUCAUCCUCACCAGUAACAAUUAUGUCUUCCAGGUUACACUGAGUUCCUGGGCAGCCUUACAGCACCUUAUCCAUAGCUUUCUGCCUGAGUGCAGGUGCAGAUGCUACUCCAAAAAUAAGCUUAUUAAAGUGAUAAAGCCCUUGUGAGUGUUUAUGAUGAAAAACACGUUGGACUCUUCUUCCUCAAAUCAACACAUCCUUCUUGGCUACAUGGUGAACAUCACAUCUACUGUAACGUGUAAUGGAUGGAAUAUCCACAGUGACUCAGGGGACAAUCCUAUGGUAUUUAAGAGGCUAUGAUUGGGAAGGAUCUUUGUGGCAGACAGCAAGGAGAUUCCUUUUAGUUACUGCAUUGGAAUUUGACUCUUCACUCACUGAAGAACAAUUAACAAUAGUCCCUGAUGGAUGAUGCUCUGGAAACAAAGAAGGAAGAAAAAGACAUCUUCCUAAUGACCUGUAUUUUGUAAUUUGUUACCUGAUUUGAUUUGAUUCUCCUUGGGUAUUGACUCCUGUUCGUAUUUUCAACAACCUUCACAAAAAUACAGAUCCUUUCAUCCCUGCAAAUUACUAUCAUAUUUUUCACCCGUCAUUGUCUGCCAAUUCACUUUGUGUGUUUAUCUCCCUCAAUUAUUAUCUUCCCAAAUUUCUUAUCAAAGCCCAUCACAUCAGGUUUUGACUACUGCCAAACUGAAACGUAUCUGAUAGAAAACAUCAACACCAUAAUUUAUAAGGAGAGUCAUCCCUCCUAUUUGUUAGAUGUCAUAGUCUGGGAGAUUAGCUGUGAUUGCCAUCCAGUUGGUUAGGACUGCACAAAUCUCAUUUAGUUUUCACCUAUUUAAUUAAAGCAAGAGAAUCAUUAUCAACAGUUUAUCUUGCUGCUUUUGAUGACCCCAGAGAUGUCUUAGGUCUGAGCCAACAUUACCCAUGAAGCAGGAAUCAGAUUCCACAUGUACAUCAGUUUUGCCUAAUUUCUCGAUUUCAUUGUUUUAAAUUUUUAGAUUUUUGAUUUACAAAAGACAAUGAACAGAAAUUUCAUUCAACUAAAUAUUGGAAAGUGCUAAUCUAUAGGGUGGAGAUCUGUUACUAACUCUGUUACCUAGCAAUGAAUUCCAAACUAUCCACAUAGUAUGUAAAAGUUAAUUAUUUCAGAUCUCAUAUUUGUGCCAUCAUGAAGAUGACCUAUUUCAACCACACUAACACCAUUGCUGUUCAGUUCAUUGACUGCUGAAACCCUCACUUGUACAUUAUUUACCUCUACAUUGAACUCAUAGCUUGUCUCUAGCAUUUCAGUCAAUAUAGAUUUGAGGGUAUUCAAACUUUACCUGUGUUCUAACCCAAACAAAUCCUCAAUAACCAAGUCAUAUCUCUGUUUGCUGACAUACAUUGAUUCCACAUUGAGCAGCAUCACUAUUUUGAAAUUCACAAUCUUCCAAUCACUCCCUGAUCUCCCUUCCUAUUUCUGUAAUCACUCUCACAACUACAAACAAAAUAAUUGCACAUGUCCAACCUCUAAAAUUGGAUAAGUAUCUAGAAACUUUACCCACUCAAACAAUACAGAAUCUUCAAUUGCCAAAUCUGUAUGAUUCUCCCCAUAAAGCUUUCUCCCUCUCUAUUCUUUUUGAUAAUUUUAAGACAUAUAUAUUUGCCCAAGUUUAUCCACCAUAUGCUCAAGUAUCUCCUUAUGUGGGUUAUUUUGUUUUCUUUUAAAUGCUCCCAUGAAGCAUAUUGUUCAAUUAAUGACACUGAAAGUUGUGGUUUCUAUUUGGAUUCAGAAUAACUCUGGCUGCUCUUCUCUUUACAGGAUCGCAAUCUUGGCUGUAUUUCUGCCUGUUUCUUGUUCAGGGCCCCAACAGGAUUGUGUUUGUAUCAGGGCUGCAAGCAGGCCUUGCAAAGUCAGUUAUAAAACCCAAGUUGAUUUACUCAGGAAGUCCCAAGCAAAUAAUUUCCAUGGUUAUUUAUAAACAAAGCUGUGACAGAUUAACUUCUUUUACAGUAUAAGGUCAGCCACAGUGCAGAGGCAAAACAUACAAUAUUGCUCAAUAUUAAUACAUUUUAUUAGCCCCCAAUAAGACAAUGAAUUGCCUUAGAUGAGAAAGAGAUACAACCUCCUUUAAUGUUGAAUAAAGAUGGUGUUACAAAUGAAAUUGGACACAUGGAAGACAUUGUUAAACUAACAAGAAAGGGAUAAUUCACCCAAGGGUGUAAUUUGUUACUUUGGAUAUGGCUGCUUUAAUCUUGUGAUUAAAUAGAAGACAAAUUGAAGAGGGUUUAAAACAGAAUAUGUAAGUAUUGGGACUAAAGACAAGAAAGGGAAACUGGAGAAGAUGGACGGAUUUGGGGUAGGUUUCCUCAAAGUUGGAAUUGGCGAAAGGACUGUGCCUGGGGAAUAAAUUGUUGAUAUUAAUGGCUGGGGUCAAACCAGAAAGGGAAAUUGAGUAGAGGAGAUAAUGAAAGGAAGAGGUGUGUUUUGUGGUUAAAAUAAAGUAGGAAAUAUGAUGGGAUUGCAAAAAAAUGAGAUUGUAACAUGAGACCUUGUAAAUGAAGGAAUAUUUGUGGUAGAUGCUAUGAUUAAGUUGAUUUUAGAAUUUGAUGAUGAAAAGAAAGAUUGCUGGGGGAUUAUCAACAAUGAAAUUGGAGAAAAUGGGGCUGGUAAAGUUUAUGUUUUCUUAAUUACGGCAUGGUAACAGGCCACUUGGCCCAACGAGCCUGCGCCACCCAUGUGACCAAUUAACGUGUAAACUCGUACAUCUUUGGAAUGUGGGAGUGAAUUGCUUCACCUGAGGAAACCCAUGCCUUCUGCUUGCGAUGUUAAGAUAAACUUUAUAUUCUGUUUACCUUUGUAUAAUUAUAGUACAAUUUCUUUUAGACAGAGAGCUAGAUUUUCAGCAGUCCUAAAAUUAUUCAGCAUUUAGUGUAAGAUUAAGGGAAUAAAAAUAGCAGAUUCAUCUUAGUUUACUGGAAUUAUUAACAACCAACAUACCUAAGGAGGUAAAGAGAAAAAUUUUGCAAUAAAGCUAGUUUGGCACAAUUGCAUUAUGAGUACUCUUACAUAAUAAUUUUUUAUGAAGAACUACCUUUUCAUUUCUAAAUUGUCAUAGUCAGACAAAAUAAAAAAAGUCAGAUGUUAUAUCUAGCCAUAAAUAAUUAUUAAUAUUUUAAGGUUCCUGGCACUAUAUUUCCUUAAAAUUUUG